UUACUUGUUGCAUAAGUGUAUAAUUGAUGUAAUGUUUAACUUUUACUGAAAUAGUAACCCUUUUUCUUUCCCAACCUCUUUGCUUUCAUUAUAGAAAUAUAAUGUUUCACUUUAAGAUUUGAUUGAAACCUUAUCCAAGCAGAUGAAACAUUACCCUCUCUAGAAGGUUGAUCCAUAAAUUAUUUGUCUUCUGAGCAGUGCCUACAUGAGAGAUGGGUGGGUAAAACCUCUCAUUUUGCCCACGUUCAGCAACUCUUCAGGUGUGAUUCUAGAAUAUUUCAAUGGUUUUGAGCUAUUCAACUUGAAUAACCAGGGACAGGCUGUUUAAAUAUUUUAUUUUGCAGUAAUUUUCAUAUUUUGCCAUGGUCUGUCUUCAGCUGCAUCAAAAAAUGGGUAGCAUAAGGAUAAUGUAAGAUGCUGCUACACUGCAUGUUUGUAACUGAAUAAAGUUGAGUAACUUUCUUGGACACCUGCUCAAUCUAAAUAGUUUUUAAAUAAAAAUUUAUUGAAACAAGUAACCUGAGAAAAUGUAACUAACUUGGAAACACUCUAGAAACUUUAUCUAGGAUCUGUUUUCUUUAGUAACAACCACUGAUGGGAGGAGAAUCUAAUUGCCUAUGAAGCAUGAAUCUCAAACCACACUUCUUUUUUUGUUCCAAAAGCAACUCCGUGGAGCAGUUUUUCCCUACUUGUUACGUGCAUAUGACAAUAUGACAGAGUUUUGGAAACUCUCUGCUAAGCGUGACAAAUAACUUGCUGAUGAAGCAAACCAUGCAGCACUUACCUUUAGGAGGUCAGGUGACUGACUCUUCAGAAGAAAAAGUCAGUAUUGCUUCAUGGCUUGACUAACAGAAGUAGCUGCAUACAUGACAGCUGAAGAUGCACUUUCCCUGGGGACUAAGCGCAGUAUGUUCAUGACAAGUGCAGCUAUCGCUGGUUGGCGGCUUGAAAGAUGAUCUUGUUUCUGAACCCAAGACUUCUCAUUGGUGUCUCAUCGGUGCAGCCUGGACCCCGGAACAAACCCAUAAUAGACUAUUGCUAUGUCCCGUGAAGACCAUUCUGCUUUCUGGGCCAGUGAAGACCAGGCCUAUAGAAGACAAGAACUGCAAUAGCUGCACAGCUGUAUGAACGGUUCUCUGUUAACUGUCAGUUGCACUUGAGGUCUGCAUAUCACAAUCCAAGCCAAAGAGAAAGUGCUCUAGUUGCAUUUGGCAGAGGGGAACUGAGGAGCUAUAGAGAUGAGAGAAUUGACAGCUGCCAAAAUGAUGGAGUGGACUUAGCUUUUCCUCUAAAGCCUGCAGGUGACAGACUCUACUGGCCAAAGCAAAACAACACUAUGUAUCGAGUCAUAACUGACGGAAAAACUUGAAAACAGCUGCAUCUUUCAAACAUGAUAUAAAAUCAUGUCAUUUUCAGGAGUACCCAGAUAAAUUCAAGGCUCCAUUGUGCUAGGUGCUGUACAUUUACGUAGGAAAAGACAACUGCUGCCUCAAAGAGCUUACCAUCUAACUAGACAAGACAAACAGCUGGAGAAAGCAAGUAUUAACUCAUCUUACAGAUGGGAAAUGGGAGCACAGAGAAGCUAAAAGGGCUGAGAAUGACAUUCUGCUCCCCGCACUCACCAAUAUGCUUGACCAAAAUGCGUCCUCCCCUCUUGUAAACUGAUUGGUUGCUGCAUUUACCCCAGAGGUAGGUGCUUCCCAGUAAUUCUGUAUGAAUAGCGUCUUUAAGUGCUUUAGAAUUUUAUGGAAUGAAAUAAGCUAUGCACAUCAAAAAUAUUUUAAUUUGGUGUCUUUGGUUAUUUUAAGGGACAGAAUCCCUUGCAGAGUUCCUUGCAUUCAUAGAAGAAAGAGGAUCCACAUUAAUCUUAUAUAUUUUGGUCACUACCAUACAAACACACGACUGCAUGAAUUCCAGAUUCCAUAGAACCCUGUUGAAUCUCCCCACUCUCUCUGUGUAUGCCAUGUUCUAAUGCACGUCAGCGUAACUUUUUUUCUCCCUUAGUAGUUUACUCUCAAAUGUUUCCUACAACAGUAUAAAAGAAAUAAUUAUCAAGAUCCAGGAUCUUGCCCUGGGAUUCAUGGCAGGCAAGAGGCACCACCUCAUAAUUCGUCCCCAGAAAAAUGCCCUGCAUUAGAUGUAUCAAAUUCAUUCUGCAGAGAAGGCUGAACUACAUUUUUAACUUGAGUUUGUGGACUAAGGGAAAAAAAUUAAAGCCAUUUCAAACCCUAGUUUGACUAGGAGUAGAAUAUGCCCUUUAGAGGGGGCAGGUAAGCCUAGAGUUGACUUUCUCUUUUCCCUAUUACGUGGGGCAGGAAACGAUAGUAACAAAGCAUUUCCCUCUCACCUUUGGGCAGGAGCCCAGUCAGAGAGCAAGCUGAGCCCAUGCUGGCAAAAAUGCAAGGAUUACACAAAAAUGAUGAAAGAAAUCUGACAUAAAUGCAAGGAAUAGGUGGCAUCCCAGGCACAAGUCUAGUAUCUUUUCAUGAAUGAUCUUUGUGCUUAUGCUACUAUGUGAAACCUUAAAAGUCAGGGAGAAGGAACAGCACUGCAGGAUUUCACUGCUAAUAUCAAUUCACUCUUUUGAACUGACUGCUGUUCCACCCUCUUCUAUUCAGCCCCCGGUAUGUGGAGAAUCAUUUCACCUCCGUACUUUCAGUUUGUGUUUCAGUUUUGCUAUCUAUAAAAUAGGGAUAAUACUUCCCUACCUCACAGAGAUACUGGUCUUUUAUCUAUGUAAAGCACUUUGAGCUCCUUGGGUGAAGAGCCCUAUAGAAGAGCAGAGUAUUGUUUUUAUUUGCUAUUACUAGGAAAUGUCUCAUUCAUCCUGUUUAUCUAACAGCGUCUAAAAAGAUGUCCAAUACUGGAAUAGCUAAGAAGUUUAGGAAACCUUGAGGAAAUCUUAUAAAAAAUGUCUUUAUCUAUUUAUUUUUCCCCUAGGGAACCCAUCACUGGUAUCUAUGGAAGUGAAUGACAAAUAUGUAAAAUCAGCAAUCUCUUAAAUGGGAGUGUUUCUAGCAUGCCAUGAAACCCAGAGAAAGGUGCUGGAUCCUGAUCAUUGUUGUCAAUAAAACUGAUUGUUAAUCAAUCAUGCUGUGGGAAUGGGACAGGCAAUGUAGAAGGUCCAUCUCCAAAGUAUGCCCUUGCUAGAAAACAGCCCAUUGGAGCUUUGCUAUAAAACAUGCAAACAUCCUGAGGAAAUGACAGCAAUUUGCA